CAAUUAAGCAAUUUCAAUUAUUUAUGAAUUACAUAUAAGCUGUUUGCUAAAUGGCGCCUACAGUACUUCUUCUUUUUCUAAGAGCAAGUCCAACAGCUGCCUCAAAUGAUGUCCUAAGUCAUUAUUUAAGGCAUUUGCUUAAAAAUCUUGCUCCAACAGUGUCCUAGUGAUGCCUUAUAUUACUAGGACAAGCUCUUCAAGCCCUAUUAAUAAGGCACCUCUCUCCUUGCCCUAUUCAAUAUUUUAAUAUAAAAUCUUCUACCCACCAUCUUUCUCUACUUUAUAUUGUGUUUUAGUGAUAAAAGAGAAUUUUUAAUAAUUAAAUAUUAAACAUAUAUUAAAAAUAAGACACAUUGUUGGAGUUGAACUUAGAUAAACAUGUCCUAAAUCACUAGGAUAUCAUAUUUUAUAUUAUAUUUGAGGCUCCAACAAGGACACUAUUGGACUUGCUCUAAAAACCGAAUGAUUAUGAACUGUACAUAAGUUAAUUAUAUAUAUAGUGCGCUAUGUGUUUGUGAAAUUGUCUUGAUCAAAAAAUCAGCUAACCAAUGCAAAUCAUAAUGAUCCGUUGAAGUUAGUUUGUUAUUGAGAUAGAGCAACUGUGAUGAAUCUUGACAAAAAUUUGUAAAUGUGCUUCAUGAUGAUAUAGACAUUAUUAUUUAAACUAAAAGAUAUACAGAUAGAUCAUUUUCGUUGUUUUUGUAGUCUGAAUGGAAUAGAAUGAACCAGUACCUGCUCCAGAUCUUUGUAGGUUUCAGAAUAAUUUCUUUAAUCCUGUUCUAUAUAUUUAUUUGUCUUUAUAUACUCUGUUCUUUAAGUCAAUAUUGUUUUGCAUUCACUUAUUCAGUACCCGGGUGGAUACUGCAUUUUCUCCUAUUUAUAUUUUCCGGCAUCGGAUGUUUUUUUUGCUAUAAUCUUAGGUUGCGUUCACUUGAAUGGAAUGGAAUGGAGGGAGAAUGGAAUGAUAUUUUUACUCUAAAUUCGGAGUGAUUAGAGAAUGUCUAUAGAGUAUAGACUAUAAUUUUUGUUUUUUCAAUCAUUCCAUUCCAACUAUUUGAACUAGAAAUCUAAACCCCCAUGUUUUGGAAUGCUCGUUCUUUAUAUUUAGUCGUCAUCAUGUUUUCCUACAAUUUUCAUCAUAAGAAAUUUAACUCACUCAUAUUUCGUCAUUACUGUCUCAUAUCGACUCGGGUACGACAACACGGGACACGGGGAUUUACUAAUUAUCAAAGAGUCCUGAAUAUGGGACACGACAAAAAAAUCUAUAAUAAAAAAUAAUACAUGAAUUAUAUGUGAAUACUGAUUAACUUCAUUCACAAUAAUAAAGUUUCUUUCACAAUUAGUGAUCAAGAAUGCCUCUAGCUUCAAGGAAGCAUGCCAGCUAUAAAUACCUAUAAAUACCCAUGCAACCUGAAAAAUUAGCAAACUCGACUAUGACUUUAUUCCUUUCAUUUUCUUCUUGAAAAAGCCUUGUCAAACAUUUGUUUCUUUCAUUUGAAAUUUCCAUUUCCUUGUGUGGAGGAACACGUCCAAAUGCUUCAUUACCGAGCCACUCUCUAUUAUAAUGCCUUGGGUUUGAUAUAAGAUGUAAAAGAGAAGGGCUGAUUUUAGGGUAAAAUUACCGGAAUUGGGCUUUUUUAGUGGGUUGAGUCGGUGGGCCGUGUGGACUGCGUCUGCGUUUCAACACGCCGCAUGGCGUGUCGGACACAUAUUCAGCCGUGUUGGUGCCAAAUCGUCGUGUCGGCCGUGUCCGACACGCGUACGGCAACCUUUUGCCGUGUCCGUGCUUUCUAGCAUCCAAGUGAACGCCACCUUAGUUUUAGUUUUCAGGUUCAUUGCCACAGUUCUGCAUAAGAAAUUAGCAAUAGAAACUCUAUCGUUAAUUACCGACAAAAUACCAACGACACUUAGGUGGAGAACUCGGCCACUGACAACGUAGCAACGGAUUUCCAAUGAAAAGUUCGUAACAGAAAGCUUCCAUUGCUAGAAAAACCCCCUCCAGCCUUUCUCGACAUGAUAGCAACGGAUUUUGUAACCGAAUGUACCAUUGGAGUUGGGGUUUUUUACAUAAUUUUUAUAUUUCUUAUUUAUAGUAUGUAUUAAUGAUUUUUAGUUAGGAGUUCUACAUUGUUCGAGAUGCUCUUAAUACUUAAUAGAAUUAUAGCCAAUUAAAUCAUGCCAAGUGGCAUUUGGGAUUUCAUUUUGGGUGCUCUGGCAUUUUCCAUAAAUUUUCAAUCUUACACUAAAAAAAAUUAUAGUAUAUAUGUCAUAUUAUUUAACAUAUCAGUCAAAAUUUUAACCGUUAUUUUUGUUGUAUCUAAAAAUAAUUUCUAUUUUUAUUGUUUACCAAACAUGUGAUUCGUGUAAUAAAGUUCCGUAAUAUUCAAAUGUUUGUAGGAUGACUCUAUAUUAUUCAUGUAGAUAUUAUGGUAAAAUAGAAUGUCUUAUAACCUCAGAAACUAAUAUUUAAUUUUAUAUAAAUUGUAUACAAGUAGUAAAUGUUGGGGCAGAACACAUACACAUGUAAAUUAGUUAUAAAGUUUAGGGGCAGAACACAUACACAUGUAAAUUAGUAAUUAAAGUUUAUAUCUAUAUUUUGUUAUGCAUUAUUGCCAAUUAACAGGUCAACCAAGAAGAAUGGAAUUGUUGGGGCUUCGAACACAGAACUCAACACAUAUCAUCGGCAAAUAGAAGAAGACCUGUUGGUAUAACUUAACAUUCACUCUCUACGCGUCGACAAGCAUUUUAGAAAUGUAAUUGUAUUUAUAAUAAAUCCCAUGAGACAAAAUAGGACAUCCAAGGAAGCUGCAUACAAAUCCAAUAAGUAAUGGAACAAUAAGCACAGGGACCAAGUUUUAUCUAGUUAUAUCACAUUGACGAAAGUUUUGUUCUUUACUUUUCCAUAUAUUGCAAUUAGUCUUUCAUUUUCAUAUACAAUGUUUUCCAAAAUCUUUGGUUCAUAAGUUUAUUUUUAUACACUAUGCACGUUCUUCUGUUUUGUUUUAUCUCUUUGUAAUAAGACUGCAUAUAUUAAUUUUGUAGCUCCACUUUGUCCUUUGUUCUUUGUUAGCUCAACCGCCAAAUCAAUAUCCUUCUCUGUCAAAUUAUAAUUUAGUUCAUUCAACAUCUUCCUCGCAACUGACAAAGGGACAUUCAAACCUCCUAAUCUAAAGCCAACAAUGUGUCAUGCUACAUAUAAUGGCUUGAAUGGUGCCCAUCACUUGGUCUUGCGUGCAGCGACCACCAAGGAUCCUAACUGGUUGUCGGAUCAAGGGGCAAAGGAAUAUUUGCUGAUUAAGCUGGGGCGCCACUAUUCGUGUCCUCUAUGACGCCAAAAUUGAAGAGUUUGAGAAAGAUUUGGCAUUUGGGAGUAAGUUAGUAACAAAGCUUAUGUACCAAUAUGAACGGUUCUCUUACUUCUAUGUGCAGCUGUAAUGCUCUGAUUCCCUUGCAAACUGCGUCGUUCAUGUGAGUAAAGAUCACAUCCUACUUCCUCCAAUCAUAUCAUUGUUUUGGCCCUAGAACCUCUGAAAGGAACCAAGGAUGAGGACAAUACAAUAUACUUGUAGUGCUAGCCUUCUUUGUUGGAAUUAGAUUUUUAAACCUCAUCAUGGGUGACAGUAAAGAAGCAGACCAACCAAAUAUCCGGCAUGAUUCAGAUGGUUCACGGGAGGGUAGGUCUUCUGACCAAGUUGACGUAUUAACAGCUGUCCGGAGAGCCAUCUGCCAAGUCUUAGCGACGCCAGCAAGAUAUAAAUGUUUCCAUAAGCAUACAGUUUAGUGUCCUUUUGUGAUCAACUUACUAUAUUUUAUGAUCUCUACAUCAGACGAUCAUUAUGUAAAUUACAUUAGUGUUGUUUUCGUGGUAACUUGUAACUAGGUAUGAUCAGCCCAUGAACAGUUUAGUUCUGGAUUUGAUUGAAGACUUCUUCAGCCUGCAGACCUUUGUAGUGGACCUAAAAGCUUUGCAAUUGAUCUCCUGUCAAUUCUUGCUCUAACUAGACUUGUUUCUCUAAAUGAGAGAUGUGGUAUAUUAUCUAUUAAACACACGUCAUUCAUUUC